GAUGAUGAUGCACGAAGCGAAGAUAGAAAAGAUCAGGCCGGUGGGGCUUGCCUCCAAUUCAUAUACAGUUGUUACUCUGUCAGUCUGCCUGUAUAUAUUUACAAGGCAGGGGGAUAACUACACUUUCAUUCUGAAAAGUGGCAGCAAAUCCGGCCUUGCCUGUAUGGAGUUUCCAUGUUCUCCCUGUGCCUGCAUGGAUUUCUCCGCGGACUCUGCUUUCCUCCCACAAUAAAAGAAGCCGUCAGGGAAGUCUGGGCGUCCCUGCUAAAGCUCCUGCCCCUGCGACCCGACCUCGGAUAAGCGGUAGAUAAUGGAUCGAUGGAUAGAUGGAUAUCCCGAUCACCAGCUCUUCCAGCUCCUUCCCUCAGGUAGGCGCUACCGAUCAAUGGAAACUGGAACUAGCAGACAUUCCAACAGCUUCUUCCCUCUUGCAAUCAACUUCUUAAACAGCUAACCUACAAUUCCAUUACAACAUGCUGGCAAUUUUUUGACUUGAGUUUGUUGUCACAUUUCUGUGGGGCCAAUUAUACGUUACUCAUGCACUCACUGUAGUAGUCUCACCACGCUGCACUAUUUGCAUAUCUGUUGUUGACCAAUACUGGCCACUCAUGCCAGAGUAGCAUCUGCUCCAUUUGCACACUGAUUGAAGAGUAUCUGCAACAUUUGCACAAUCAACAUUGUCCCAGAUUAUCGCACUACUCGCUUGAAGUCUUGACGCCCUUUGCACAAUGGUCAUUGCACCGGACUAUUGCAAUAUUAGUCAUAUUAGUAAAAUGCUCCCUGGGUGCUUCAGCUUCCCCCUGCUCCAGUGUGUUCCACUAACAUGUGUAUGUGUUCACUGUGUUGGGUUAAAUGCAGAGAACAAAUUUCAUGUGCAUGCAUGCAUGUUCAUGACAAUAAAAAGUGAUUCUUCUUCUUCUUCUCCUCCUCCAUCAUCGCUUUUUUUUUGCCUGAAUUCCUGCAUUGAAUCAAACACUGAUAGC